rnacentral:rRNA from 1 species
ACGCUCGACACCUACGGGAGGCAGCAGUGGGGAAUAUUGCACAAUGGGGGAAACCCUGAUGCAGCGACGCCGCGUGAGCGAAGAGGUAUUUCGGUAUGUAAAGCUCUAUCAGCAGGGAAGAAAAUGACGGUACCUGACUAAGAAGCCCCGGCUAACUACGUACCAGCAGCCGCGGUAAUCUGAGCGGGCUGGCAAGGC